rnacentral:rRNA from 1 species
AAGUAGCCGCGGGAAAACAGAGGGUGCGAGCGUUAAUCGGAUUUACUGGGCGUAAAGCGUGCGUAGGCGGCUAAUUGAGUCGGAUGUGAAAUCCCCGAGCUUAACUUGGGAAUUGCAUUCGAUACUGGUUAGCUAGAGUGUGGGAGAGGAUGGUAGAAUUCCAGGUGUAGCGGUGAAAUGCGUAGAGAUCUGGAGGAAUACCGAUGGCGAAGGCAGCCAUCUGGCCUAACACUGACGCUGAGGUACGAAAGCAUGGGGAGCAAACAGGAUUAGAUACCCCGGUAGUCCCUGUCUCUUAUAC